rnacentral:rRNA from 1 species
AUGACCACGACACGUGCGCCGAUGAUCCGGCUCCUCCUCCUCCUCCUCGUCGCCGCCGCCUGCUGCUUCUCCUCCGGCUCCGUCGUCGCCGCCACCGACAGCAUCGGCCUGGGCGCGUCCGUCACCGGCAACCAGACGCUCGUCUCGGCGGGCGGGAUCUUCGAGCUCGGCUUCUUCAGCCCGCCCGGCGGCCGGACGUACCUCGGCAUUCGGUACGCGGGCAUCGCGGACCGGACCGUUGUGUGGGUCGCCAACCGCAACGACCCGCUCGUCAGCGCCCCCGGCGCCCUCCGGCUCGCCCCCGACGGCCGGCUCCUCAUCCUGGACCGCCAGAACAGCACCGUCUGGUCCUCGCCGGCGCCCACCCGCCGGAUCACCGCGGGCGCCGUCGCCCGGCUCGGCGACGACGGCAACUUCCUCCUGAGCUCGGACGGGAGCGGCUCGCCCCAGAGCGUGGCGUGGCAGAGCUUCGACUACCCGACGGACACGCUGCUCCCCGGCAUGAAGCUCGGGAUAGACUUCAAGCGGCGCCUCACCAGGAACCUCACGUCGUGGAACACCCCCAACGACCCCUCGCCGGGGCAGUACACGUUCAAGCUCGUCCCCGGGGGGCUCCCGGAGUUCUUCCUCUUCCAGGGCCCCAAGAAGAUCUACGCCAGCGGGCCGUUCAACGGCGCCGGGCUCACCGGCGUGCCCAACCUCAGGUCCCAGGAUUUCCUCUUCACGGUGGUGAACAGCCCCGACGAGACCUACUACAGCUACGCCAUCACCAACCCGCAGCUGCGGUCGCGGUUCCUCAUGGACGGCACGGCGGGGGUGGUGCAGCGCUACGUCUGGACCAACGGCCAGUGGAGCAGCUUCUGGUACUACCCGACGGACCCCUGCGACACCUACGGCAAGUGCGGGGCGUUCGGCUACUGCGACACCACCCAGGCCCCGCUCUGCGCCUGCCUGCCGGGCUUCCAGCCGCGGUCGACGGAGCAGUGGAACCUCCGGGACGGGACCGGCGGGUGCGUCAGGACGACCAACCUGAGCUGCGGCGCCGGGGACGGGUUCUGGCCCGUGAGCCAGAUGAAGCUGCCGGAGGCGACCAACGCGACGGUGCACGCCGACAUGACGCUGGACCAGUGCCGGCAGGCGUGCCUGGCCGACUGCAGCUGCAGGGCCUACUCCGCCGCAAACGUCAGCGGCGGGAUCAACCGCGGGUGCGUCAUCUGGGGCGUCGAUCUGAUGGACAUGCGGCAGUAUCCGGCGGUCGUGCAGGACGUCUUCAUCCGGCUCGCGCAGUCCGAGGUCGAUGCCUUGAUCGCCGCAGCUCGCCGCCAGCGCCCGAACAGGAAGCUGCUGAUCGCAGGCGUCGCCGCUGCUUCCGGGGUGCUUCUUCUGGGGGCGAUUUUGGGCUGCUGCUGUUUCUGGAGGAAGAAGCGUCAGGCCAAAACGGCGCCAAGUAGUCACAGCGACGUGCUUCCGCUGAGGCACAGGAAACACCCCGCGGCGAGCCCGGCACGGAAUCAACGGCUGGAGGAGAAUAGGAUGGGUUCCGAGAAAGAUCUUGACCUCCCGUUCUUCGAUCUAGAGGCGAUUCUGACUGCAACGGAUGACUUCGACCCUGAUAGUAAGAUCGGGCAGGGGGGAUUUGGUUCCGUCUAUAUGGGAAAACUUGAGGAUGGGCAAGAAGUAGCUGUAAAGAGGUUAUCCAAGAAAUCAGUGCAGGGUGUUGGGGAAUUCAAGAACGAGGUGAAACUGAUAGCAAAGCUUCAGCAUAGGAACCUUGUGAAGCUGCUAGGCUGCUGCAUCGACGACGACGAGAGAAUGCUUGUCUAUGAGUUCAUGCCCAACAACAGCCUAGACACAUUCAUAUUUGAUGAAGAAAAGCGCAAGUCACUAGUAUGGAAGAACCGUUUUGAGAUCAUUAUGGGGAUUGCGAGGGGUCUGCUUUAUCUCCAUGAAGACUCCAGGGUCAGGAUCAUCCACAGGGACAUGAAGGCAAGCAAUGUGUUAUUAGACAGAAAUAUGAUCCCCAAGAUCUCUGACUUCGGCAUCGCGAGAAUGUUUGGAGGUGAUCAGACAACUGAAUAUACCAUGAAGGUCAUUGGGACAUAUGGCUACAUGUCUCCAGAAUAUGCAAUGGACGGCGUAUUCUCUAUGAAGUCCGAUAUUUAUAGUUUCGGUGUCCUGGUGAUAGAGAUCAUCACUGGCAAGAGGAAUCGAGGCUUUUACGACGACGAGCUUGAUCUCAACCUCCUUGGUUAUGCAUGGAUGUUGUGGAAAGAAGGUCGGGGUGUGGAGCUACUGGAUGAAGCAAUGGGCGGCACCUUUGACUACGAUGUGGUGCUCAGGUGCAUACAGGUCGCUCUCCUGUGUGUUCAAGUGCAUCCUAGGAGCAGGCCACUGAUGUCCUCAGUUGUCAUGUUGCUGAGCAGUGAGAAUGCAACAAUGCCAGAGCCAAACGAACCUGGAGUAAACAUUGGAAAGAUCACGUCUGACACUGAAUCGUCUCAAACACAGACAGGAAUCAGCUUAACAGAAACUGCAGUGGAUGCUAGGUAG